AUUGAACGCUGGCGGCAUGCCUUACACAUGCAAGUCGAACGGUAACGGGCCUUCGGGUGCCGACGAGUGGCGAACGGGUGAGUAAUGUAUCGGAACGUACCUUUCAGUGGGGGAUAACGUAGCGAAAGUUACGCUAAUACCGCAUAUUCUGUGAGCAGGAAAGCAGGGGAUCGCAAGACCUUGCGCUGAUUGAGCGGCCGAUAUCAGAUUAGCUAGUUGGUGAGGUAAAGGCUCACCAAGGCGACGAUAUGUAGCGGGUCUGAGAGGAUGAUCCGCCACACUGGAACUGAGACACGGUCCAGACUCCUACGGGAGGCAGCAGUGGGGAAUUUUGGACAAUGGGGGCAACCCUGAUCCAGCCAUGCCGCGUGAGUGAAGAAGGCCUUCGGGUUGUAAAGCUCUUUCGGCCGGGAAGAAAUCGUAUCAGCUAAUACCUGGUGCGGAUGACGGUACCGGCAUAAGAAGCACCGGCUAACUACGUGCCAGCCGCCGCCGUAA
rnacentral:rRNA from 1 species